AUCCCCCCCUCCUCCCCAACCCACCUUCAUCUAGCUAGGAAAGGCAAAAUGAAAGAGAAAAGAUCACGGUAACAUGACAUGAGGUUUAUUAGAAAUCUGUUUAGAAAGAGGAGGUCGAGAUGGCAAAAUUAUGGACACCUCGGCGUCAGACAGAAAUCAAAUGCCAACAUUUCUGAGAAGCAAUAUUUAUUGUCAUUUUUUUUUUCUUUUCAAUGUAAAGACAUGUCCUGAAUUUCCCCAAAAGCCUAGAUGGGGAAAAUAAAGACUUCUUGGCGUUUAUAAGUAAAUCCGUCUGCAGAAUUGAAGCAGCACCAACAUUCAAAAAAAACUGAAGAGGAAAAUACAACAAAACACAACAAUCUUUUUUUUUUUAUUCUUAUUAUUAUUUAUGUAAAUCAGGUCAUCACUGGACAAGAAACCGAUUUCUACCCAUUACCAUAACAGCUUGUCUAUAAAGAACAGAAAAAAAAAAUUCCGAUAGGAUACUAUCUAGAGUCAAGCUUUUUUUUUCUUUUUUUUUUUCUUUUUAAAUUCCCCCACCCAUUCACAGAGGUAUAGAUUCACAGAUAAAUAACCCAAAAACUACUUGCUCGCCAUAUUUACACAUUCCCAUUAAAUUAAGCAUAAAUAAAUAUAUACAAACUCAACAUUGAAUGCCUCUCCGCAUUUCUUCUUAGGAAGAGUCGAUUAACUGAUAUUUCUCACUGCAUGGUAAGACUAUUCAAGAGGAGGUGGUGAAGAGGAAUCAGUUUUGGCAUAGACAGGAAGAUGGUGUAAAUUUGCACCGCUUCUGUUUUUAUUUUCCUUUUCUUUCUUUUUUUCUUUUUUUACCGCUAUUUUUUUUUUUUUUUUGCUAGCUUUUAUUUGGCACACAAUAUUCAGGCUCUUCAGUCCCAUCUAAGUGAGGGGUUUUAAUCGUUUCUUUUUUUACCUUUUAUGUAAGAAAACUCCAGCCCUGUGAGUGUCCCUUUCCUAGGUUUAAUCGGAAAGUGUAUUUUGCUGGAACACAAGGUAACAGAAAAUUGCUUUUUUUUUUAAAUAUAGAUCUGGCCACGUUGGUGUCAGGCUGUCGUGAGCAUGAAUGUGUCAAAGUGAGGAUUUUUGGUUUCUUUCAGUGUGAGCUUAAAAGGGGAAAACUAAUACCUUAAUGGAAACCGUC